GCACUGCUGAGGAGUUCCAGUACUAGGACGAAACGGCCGUUCAGUGC
rnacentral:hammerhead_ribozyme from 1 species